UUUGGAGGGCAAGUCUGGUGCCAGCAGCCGCGGUAAUUCCAGCUCCAAUAGCGUAUGCCAAAGUUGCUGCGGUUAAAAAGCUCGUAGUUGGACUACAGUUCCGGACUGACGGCUCACCGCCAAGGUGCACUCCGUCAGCUCCGAAGCAGCCCUAGUUUAAAAAACUGGGGCCCCGUCGGCUCGCCCGGGGUGCUCUUCACCGAGUGCCCCGAGUGGCUGGCAUGUUUACUUUGAAAAAAUUAGAGUGCUCAGAGCAGGCUACAUGAAUUGGCCUGAAUGCCUAUGCAUGGAAUAAUGGAAUAGGACCUCGGUUCUAUUUUGUCGGUUUUCCUUUUACUUGGAACCCGAGGUAAUGAUUAAGGGGAACAGUCGGGGACAUUUGUACUGCGACGCUAGAGGUGAAAUUCUUGGAACGUCGCAAGACAAGCUACUGCGAAAGCAUUUGUCAAGGAUGUUUUCGUUAAUCAAGAACGAAAGUUAGAGGUUCGAAGGCGAUCAGAUACCGCCCUAGUUCUAACCAUAAACGAUGCUGACCAGCGAUCCGCCGGCGCUAUUCCCAUGGCCCGGCGGGCAGCUUCCGGGAAACCAAAGUCUUUGAGUUCCGGGGGAAGUAUGGUUGCAAAGCUGAAACUUAAAGGAAUUGACGGAAGGGCACCACCAGGAGUGGAGCCUGCGGCUUAAUUUGACUCAACACGGGAAACCUCACCAGGCCCAGACACCGGAAGGAUUGACAGAAUGAGAGCUCUUUCUCGAUUCGGUGGGUGGUGGUGCAUGGCCGUUCUUAGUUGGUGGAGUGAUUUGUCUGGUUAAUUCCGAUAACGAACGAGACUCUGGCCUAUUAACUAGUCGGCGGAUUUCCAAGCAUUGGUGUCCAGCCCGCAACUUCUUCUUAGAGGGAUAAGCGGCAUACAUAGCCGCACGAGAUUGAGCAAUAACAGGUCUGUGAUGCCCUUAGAUGUUCUGGGCAGCACGCGCGCUACACUGAAGGGAUCAGCGUGUUUUCCCCCUCCGAGAGGAGCGGGCAACCCGAUGAAACCCCUUCGUGCUAGGGAUUGGGGCUUGCAAUUGUUUCCCAUGAACGAGGAAUUCCCAGUAAGCGCAAGUCAUCAGCUUGCGUUGAUUACGUCCCUGCCCUUUGUACACACCGCCCGUCGCUACUACCGAUUGAAUGAUUUAGUGAGGACUUCGGACUGGCGCUCUUGGAUGCGUGGGUGUGUGGAGUAGCAGCAGGCGUCGGCUCUAGUUAGUCGAUCUUGUCUGUCUCUCUCGCCCUGCUCUUCGAGCUGACGGAAAGAUGUCCAAACUUGAUCAUUUAGAGGAAGUAAAAGUCGUAACAAGGUUUCCGUAGGUGAACCUGCGGAAGGAUCA
rnacentral:rRNA from 1 species